AAUUGUCGAGCUCAAUUGGUAAUGUCAGCCUUUGAUCUUUUGGCCAGGUAGAAGGUGAGAUCUUGAACUUAGGAGUGUCGAAUACCGUAGGUGGGUUUUCGAUACUAUGGGUUUGACUUCAGUUAUUUAUAUUUUAAACUAGUGGGAGAUUAUGGUCUUCGAGGUAAGUAUUAUUGACUCAGGUUUUGGGACAACGAUACGCCCUCUGUAACAUACCAGAUUUUGAUAUAAAAAUAAAAAAUAAAUAAAAAUAAUGUGAGAUAAUAUUUUUAUUGGAUUUAGAGAAGUAAAACAUAAGUCAGAAGUGACUUGUGCUGAAAUCAGAAUGAAAAUAGAAGAUUUAGAAUUUUUUGUUGGAAACGGGACAGAUAAAUUAGUAGAAAAUGCACAGUGUCAGAAAAUUAUAAAAACUGGAGGAUAAGUCAGAAUUAUUUUUAUGAGGCUAGAUUUAAAGUUUCAUAUCAUUCUGACACCCGGAAGGUUGGAAAGUAAAAUCCGACGACUAUCUGAUAAAGAUUACAGUUCGGUACGGUUUUCGGUGACCAAACCGGGUCGAAACUAAAAUAUUAAAAUUUUUUUGUACUUAUUAAGUAAAACCGAGCCUGUCUGUCAAAUUUCAGAGCAAAUGGACAUUCAGAAGGACUUCGGUGAAAAAUGUCAGUUUUAAAUUGCCCGAAAUGAAUAGUAUUUUGGGGUGUAAUUAUAAUAGAAGCAGCUUGCUUCUUCCUCC
rnacentral:lncRNA from 1 species